UACGUAGGGUGCAAGCGUUGUCCGGAAUUAUUGGGCGUAAAGAGCUCGUAGGCGGUCUGUCGCGUCGGAUGUGAAAACCCAGGGCUCAACCCUGGGCCUGCAUUCGAUACGGGCAGACUAGAGUUCGGUAGGGGAGACUGGAAUUCCUGGUGUAGCGGUGAAAUGCGCAGAUAUCAGGAGGAACACCGGUGGCGAAGGCGGGUCUCUGGGCCGAAACUGACGCUGAGGAGCGAAAGCGUGGGGAGCAAAAGGG
rnacentral:rRNA from 1 species